rnacentral:rRNA from 1 species
AUGGCAGGCAGCGGAUCGGAUUCCGACCAGUUCGGAUCCUUCGACUGGGGUGUCGUCCCGUGUGGGUUGGAGGAGGCAAUGGCAGUGCGCAUUGCACUCCACCGCUCGAAGGAGGACAGCGCCCGGUCGGCGGACAGAUCCGUCCGCCGCGACGCCAUAGCAUCGACUCACCAGGCGCUCGGGUCCGCUGGUGCUGGAUUCUCGCGGUCCCGGCCGGAAUACCUCUCCUUCCCCAUCACCGGUCGGACAGAGUAUGAGUCCCACGAGAAACGGGCGGCCCGCCGUGGGAAGGAGAGGAUAAGGACCGUCAAGGCCCGUAUCGCGGUGAGGGCGGCUGAUGCGGCGGCGCAGGCGGCCGCAGAGGAGGAAGCCAUCCGCGCCUGCAUUGUGAAGAAACGGUAG